GACGAACGCUGGCGGCGUGCCUAAUACAUGCAAGUUGAGCGCUGAAGGUUGGUACUUGUACCUACUGGAUGAGCAGCGAACGGGUGAGUAACGCGUGGGGAAUCUGCCUUUGAGCGGGGGACAACAUUUGGAAACGAAUGCUAAUACCGCAUAAAAACUUUAAACACAAGUUUUAAGUUUGAAAGAUGCAAUUGCAUCACUCAAAGAUGAUCCCGCGUUGUAUUAGCUAGUUGGUGAGGUAAAGGCUCACCAAGGCGAUGAUACAUAGCCGACCUGAGAGGGUGAUCGGCCAAAUUUGGACUGAGACCAGGCCCCAACUCCUACGGGAGGCAGCAGUAGGGAAUCUUCGGCAAUGGACGAAAGUCUGACCGAGCAACGCCGCGUGAGUGAAGAGGGUUUUCGGAUCGUAAAACUCUGUUGGUAGAGAAGAACGUUGGUGAGAGUGGAAAGCUCAUCAAGUGACGGUAACUACCCAGAAAGGGACGGCUAACUACGUG
rnacentral:rRNA from 1 species